rnacentral:rRNA from 1 species
UACGUAGGGAGCAAGCGUUGUUCGGAUUUACUGGGCGUAAAGGGCGCGUAGGCGGCAAAUUAAGUCAGCUGUGAAAUCUCCGAGCUUAACUCGGAACGGUCAGCUGAUACUGAUCUGCUAGAGUGCAGAAAGGGCAAUCGGAAUUCUUGGUGUAGCGGUGAAAUGCGUAGAUAUCAAGAGGAACACCUGAGGCGAAGGCGGGUUGCUAGGCUGACACUGACGCUGAGGCGCGAAAGCCAGGGGAGCAAACGGG